UUGUGUCAGUUUGUUCCUGCCUGUGUUUUGCCCGUCGGUUUGUGCAUGUUAUCGCCUGCUGCCGUUGCUUUUGAUUUCUCCCUGCCUGACUUUUGGUGCCCUACAAGAGGGGACUUAAUACGCAAGCACCACGGAGAGAGGGCUCGCGGAGUCCCUAAAGGAGGGGUCGCUCCCAACGGCGAGGACACCGAAGCAAGCAGGCCUGGCUCCGGAGCGUGAAUUAAAACAGCGGCAUGGUAAAAUGACCUCUCAAAGAGAGAUGGUGUUGCGUUCAUUGGAUGCUGAAGCAGUCGGCUCACUCAAAGACGGAGUCAAUUUCCAGAAAAACCCAGAAGAUGGAAAAUGUUACAUCAUACACAAGACCAGCCAUGGCCUUAAAGCAUGCAAGAACCAAUGCAAACACCAGGGAGGCUUGUUCAUCAUGGACAUUGAAGACCUGAAUGGCAGGAAUGUAAAAUGCACAAAACACAACUGGAAGUUAAAUGUGUCAACAAUGAAAUAUGUGACUCCACCUGACAGCAUCUUGCAGGACGAGCUGGGUGAGUUCCAUUUGUGUU